UAAAACUCUCCGUAAUUUCUCCAUUCCAUAGAAGUUGCAUAGUCGCCGUUGGAAUACAUUCCAUAAUAAGCCGAACCAAAACAGUAGGCAAUCCAAACUCCCUCAAGGUUUCAUAAAUAAAAUCCCAGCUUAAACGAUCAUACGCCUUUUCCAAAUCCACCUUAAUGGCCAUCUGCCCAAUCCUCCCUUUCUUACGUCUCAUCGAAUGAAAAACUUCCUGAGCAACCACUAUGUUUUCCGUUAUGUGUCUCCCCGGGAUAAAACUAGUCAGGGUAGGAAUGAGGUCAGGCAAGAUAGAUUUCAGCCGGUUAGCUAAUAACUUAGUGAUAGUUUUAUAGAUAACCGGGCAAAGACUAAUCGGACGAAAAAGCUUAAGGCUAAUAGGAUUAUCCGACUUAGGAACCAACACAAUCAGAGUUUUGUUCAACUCCUUAGGGAUCUCGUUGCCAUUAAAAAUACCUUUUAUAAGACUACAGACAGAUUUUCCCACUACAUGCCACUGGGUCUGGUAAAAGAGAGCAUGCAACCCGCCUAUUCCAGGGGCUUUCAAAGCCUUCAUGCUGAAGACAACAUUCUUAAUUUCUUCAUCCUCCACUGCUUGUCCCAAAGCUUGCAUUCGACUUUCCUCAAGGACUGGGAAGGCGUUAACAACAUGGUAUGGAUGAUAGAUUGCAUCCUCUUUGGAAUAGAGCUUUGAAAAGAAGGACACAGCAUAAUCUCUAAUCUCAUCAUUAUUCAACAACCAAUAACUCUAUUCGUUAUGAAAUUGAUAUUGUACCCAAUUUUAAGAGAGCAUAAUAAUAACCAUUCAAUGCAUAAAUUUAGAAUUAGGUUUUUUUUGUAAUUCUUUAUUUAAAUAUAAGCUUCAAUGGAAAAUUAUAAAAAUUUAGAUAUAAAAUUUUAAAUCACCAGACCAAAAAAAAAAUAGGGGAACGGAAAUAGAGGAAUCUUGCUUUACCUUUUUUCCCUUUAACUCUUGUUCUUAUAUAAAUAAUUUUGUUUUGAUGAUUGUAACUCGUGACUGCGGGAAAAUUUCUAAUGGAAACAACUCAAAUUCGGAAGAUAAGCUUAAUUAUGCAAGUGAUGAAUUUGUUCAAUUGACUCUGUACUUGAACUAGUUGGAUUGAUUGAUUGAUGAUUGACUAAAUUUGAAUUAAGACAACAAACAAGCAAUACUGAUACAAAGCCAACAGAUCAGAGUUUUUGGUACAAAUCCAAUAAAAGACAAUAAACUUAGGACCUUUUUUUCUUGCUUUCUUUUGUUGAAGGAUUAGAGUUUUUGGUAUUAUCAGUAAAGGUUUCAAGGAGUAAAAGCCUAUAAACUUUUUUUUUGGGGGAGCGCCGCCGGGGGGGGCGGGGGAGAGCAUGCAAAUUAACCAAAAGAAAUAAUAAGAGCACAGGCUUUAACAAUGAAUACUGACUUAAAACUCAUGCAAAAUAAGUUACAAUAUUAAAACAAACCAGAGAAAAUUUUUUCUUGGAAAGUAGAUGGAACUUAUGAAAGAGCAGAUGUCAAGGAUUUAGAAAACGUGCACCUCUUUAAUUAUCUGGGAUUAGAGAGUUGGUGAGCUUCUCUAUUUAAGAACAAGUUGAAAGAGGAAAAAGAUCACUGGUAACUGCUGAGGAAUGUGUGAGAAAAGAGUUGAUGAGAGCAAUAACAAUGACCUGCAAAAGAAACAGAAUUAGUCAUUCACCGCUUUUCUAUAUCAUGUAUUUGGUUAUUGUUGCCCUGUUGACGCAUGUUGAAGAAGAAAGCACUAGUUCACAACUCUACGUUUUCAUAUAUUCUAAAGAAAUAAUUAAGUUUUCAUAGAAUAAAAUGGUAAGACUUUUAAUUGAACAAUUGAGUGCAAUCAGUAACAAAGGCUUUACAUAUGCAAGUAAAAUUUGUAGGUUGCUUCAGAAAAAAAGGGCAUUUCUCACUCAUCUUUAAUCUGCAAGUAAAAUUAGCUACAAAGCAAAUCUAAUAAAAUGACAAACAAAAGAACAAAACAAAGAAAAGACAGGAGGCAAACAACAUUGAUCUUAAGCCAACUGAUAAUUAAACAGAGAAUUUUUUUUUUUUUUUUUUUUAACCUGUUGCUCAAGGAUUAGAGUUUUUAUAUUAACAGAAAGGUUUAAGGGGUCUGAAUAAAAGCCCACAAUUUCUCUAUUUUAUUUUUAUUUUUAUUUUUUGAAAGGAGCUUCACUGUUGGCCUUGAAUAUAAAAGAAUGAGCAAAAGAUCAAUGUCAACUGCCGAGGAAUGUGAGUAAAGAUUUCAUCAGAGUAAGUAAUACAAAUGAAUUGUAAAAGAACAAGACUUAAGCGUGCACCCCGUGUUUUGUUUUAUUGUACGUAUAAACAUAACAUGUUCAUUUUUAACAAAGUGGUCAAUAACUCUUUUUUUUUCGGUACAAAGACGUGCCUAGUAUAGACUAGGGCAAAACAAAACGGGGGUGUGAAACCCCAAUACAAUCAUGACGAAUCCAAAACCCAGCCCCUAAAGGAAGAGAAUUGAAAAUGUGCAAUCCAACAGGUAGUGAAAGAGUAGAGUUUGCAAGAAAGUCAGCUGCAAAAUUUGAUUCUCUGUAAACAUGCUUGACCUGCACUUGCCAGGUUCUGUUAAGCAAUUCCUUAAUACCCCUGACAAGAGAAGCAUGUGCAUUUGGCCUAAUCUCGUCAUCCGCCACCAAAAGAGUAACACAAAGGCUGUCAAUCUCCACAUGAAGCUGCCGAAUUCCAUUAUCCCAAGCCAGACAUAACCCUUGAUAAAGGCCCCAUAACUCAGCACCAAUGAUGGUAACCACACCAAUAUUCAUUCCAAAACCAAUUAUCCACUCUCCAUAACAGUUUCUAAUCAAGCCACCCGUACUAGACAGACCAGAACUUUUACGAGCUCCAUCUGUGUCGAGUUUAAACCAAGGCCAAGUAGGUGCCACCCAUCCAAAAUAUUCUCAAUCUUCAUGGCAGCAGGAACCAAACAACUCUAAUUAAUCUUUUGAAUUUCUUCUGUACGGAUCUUAAUAUCCAUUACAACAGUACUCUUGCUGUUGCUGGUAAAAACACCAUUAUGCAGAUUUUGGUUACGCCAAAACCAAAGCCUCCAAACUGUGACCCCAAAAAGACACGGCCAGUCAAACAUACCAUCAUACUUCCACAAGUUCCUCAAAUUAUAUAACAUCCAAUCUCGGAGAUUCAAACUAAAAAAUUAAUGACUAAUCCCAUGGGGUAUCAAUGACGACCAGACAUGCUUAGCACUGGGGCAAUCCCGUAGCACAUGAAGAGUAUUUUCAACAACACAGCCACACUUUGCACAGCUCAUAUCAUCAACAAUAUGUCUCCGGAAAAGUUCUGCUUUAGUUUUAAGUCUAUUUUGACCCACCACCCACAGAAAGGUUUUGAUACGUUGGGGACCUCUCCACUGCCAAAGAAUGCGCCAAAAGGAUUCUUCAUUGUGAACCUCCAUUUUUGACAAAGCCCUAUAUGCUGAAUUAGUAGUGAAAUCUUCUGACUUAGAAUAUGCCCAGUACAUGUAAUCAUCCUCAUCAUUUACACUGGGAGGCUUGGUGGCUGCAAUUUUGAGAAGUAAAUGAUGGGGAAAUAAAUUCUCAAAAAGCCGCCAAUUCCAAGUACCCUCAACAGUGAUAAACCUCGCCACACACUCCUCAAGCUGCUGUAAACGUAUCGGCUGCAAAGCGAAAGUAUACAAAGGGUAUUCCUCUGUUACCCAAUUAUCCCACCAAAAUCUAACUCGGUUGCCAUUUCCAAUGUCCCAUUUGAUCCCUUUUAAAACCUCAUGCCAAAUGCCUCCCACAGCCUUCCACAUGUAAGAGCCACAUUUCGUAGGUAAUGUGCUGGGGAGAGCAUUAGGAGCCAGCCCAUACUUAGACAAGAGAACCUUCACCCAUAAACUAUUUGGAGAAGCAAUUAAAACCCACCCAAUCUUCAUGAGCAGAGCAUCAUUCAUUAAAUUAAGCUGCUUAAGACCAAGGCCUCCGCUAGGUUUCAGUUGACAUAUUGUAUCCCAUUUCACCAAACUGAUUUUCUUCUUGUCUGCUGCCCCGCUCCAAAUAAACCUCCUACAAGCCUGAUCAAUUUUCUCCCGAAUACCAAACGGAAUCUUCGUGGUCUGCAUUGCAUAAAUAGGAAUUGCCUGGAUUACCGAUUGAGUGAGAGUGAUCCUACCCGCCAAGGACAAAUGUAUCGCAUUCCACCGCAACAAAUGUUGGUUCACUUUGUCCAAAAUUCCCUGAUAAGUUAGCUUAUUAACCCGUGAAUGAAUAAUUGGCAUUCCUCAAUAUUUCCCUAGGUUUUUUGUGACAGAAAAACCCAAGGAAUCACCAAUUUCCUUAGCCUCAGCAGACUUUAUGUUGUGGGAGAAAAAAACUUGUGUCUUUGUUUUACUAACUUUCUCUCUAGAGCUCAUACAAAAAACAUUCAACACUUCAUUAUAACCAUUGCUUGCCUACAGGAAGCCUCUGCAAGCAAGAUAAGAUCGUCAGCAAAAAAUAAGUGAGAUAAAGAGGUACCUCCACGAGACAGUUUAAUAGGUUUCCAGUGCCCUCUCUUCACAGCGUCAUUUAUUCCAUGGCUUAACCUUUCUAUACAUAACACAAAGAUAUAUGGGGAAAUGGGGUCUCCCUGUCCAAUACCCCUAGAAGGGGUAAAACUCUCCGUAAUUUCUCCAUUCCAUAGAAGUUGCAUAGUCGCCGUUGUAAUACAUUCCAUAAUAAGCCGAACCAAAAUAGUAGGCAAUCCAAACUCCCUCAAGGUUUCAUAAAUAAAAUCCCAGCUUAAACGAUCAUACGCCUUUUCCAAAUCCACCUUAAUGGCCAUCUGCCCAAUCCUCCCUUUCUUACGUCUCAUCUAAUGAAUAACUUCCUGAGCAACCACUAUGUUUUCCGUUAUGUGUCUCCCCGGGAUAAAACUAGUCUGGGUAGGUCCAAUGAGGUCAGGCAAGAUAGAUUUCAGCCGGUUAGCUAAUAACUUAGUGAUAGUUUUAUAGAUAACCGGGCAAAGACUAAUCGGACGAAAAAGCUUAAGGCUAAUAGGAUUAUCCGACUUAGGAACCAACACAAUCAGAGUUUUGUUCAGCUCCUUAGGGAUCUCGUUGCCAUUAAAAAUACCUUUUAUAAGACUACAGACAGAUUUUCC
rnacentral:lncRNA from 1 species